GCCCGGCGCGGUGGCGCGAGCCUGUAAUCCCAGCUCCCCGGGAGGCUGAGGUCGGCGGAUCGUGGGUGCCAGGGGGCUCGGGACUAUGGCGUGUGUGGAACGGGCGUCCGCACCGGACCCGGCACCAACAUGGGACUUCUGGGGGAGCCCGGGCGUACCAGGUUGUCUAAGGAGGGGGGACCCAGCCCAGGCCGGACACGGAGCAGGUCAAACUCCCCGCGUUGGGCGGCGGUGGAACCGCGCCUGCGAGCAAGGUCUGACGCUCCACUCGGACAUUCGAGGAGACCGAUCUCUU
rnacentral:SRP_RNA from 1 species